rnacentral:tRNA from 1 species
UUAAAGUGGCAGAGUAAAAUGCGAGGGAUUUAAGCUUCCUUUAUGAAAGUUUCCUUUAAU